GUAAAAUAGUAUGCCGGGCAGCCGCUCUUUGUUUGAAAGUAGUUGGUGCGACAAACACCGUGGUAAGAGCACUGUUUGCAUAGGGAUUCUGCCGGCGGUGAUCUAAUACGAAGCGGGGUCGCAAGUUGGGCUGGAGCCAAUCCCAGCAAACAUUGGGCGAAAGGCAGGAAUACACCCUGGACAGGUCACCAGUCCAUCACAGGGCACACACACCAUUCACUCACACACUCAUACCUAUGGGCAAUUUAGACUCUCCAAUCAGCCUAAGGGAGCAUGUCUUUGGACUGUGGGAGGAAACCGGAGUACCAGGAGGAAACCAACGCAGACACGGGGAGAACAUGCAAACUCCACACAGAGAGGCCCCAGCUGACGGGGAUUCGAACCCAGGUGUCACGUUUCAGCUAGAUCAGGAUUGGGUAGAAACUAACAAACUAAUCAUGUGUUCAUGUUGCCUUACGUUUCUCGUGCAUGUCAUUUACUAAUUUACUAAGGGCAGGGCAGGAUAGGUUUAUUACUAACGAUUACUAAUCACCUUGUUAAACUUGUCAUCCAUCGCACCUGUUUUCCAUUUCCUUGCUACGCUCUAACUAAUUGUCUACACCUGUCUACACCUGCAUUUAUAUCCCAGUCGCGCUACUGUUCACUGCAAAAUUGUCUGCCUCUUGAACUCCAAAGCAACUCUUGAGCAUUACUGUUAUUGAUUACACGUUACGAUCCAAGCCUGUUUACCGACCAUUAUUUAUUGAUUUCUGUUUCGUUGACCACCGCUUGUUUUUGACCACGUCCUCGCCUACCGUCUUUGUACUUUUGCCUCGCUGAUUGUUUUAUGGUUUUCAACUUCCGCAUCGCCCUCGACUACGACUCUGCCUGCCGUCCGCCUGUACUUCUGCCUCGCUGACAGCUCUCCUGCUACCGGACCUCCCUGCACGUCUACCGACUACGAGUUUGCCUCUUCCCUCGGCACCGUGCUUUUUGUUUGUUUAAUAUUUGUUUGGCUGGAUCUACGUGUAUGGACUUUGCUUGUUGUGACUACGCUCCUGGGAUUCGUCCCAAAUAAAGCCCUGACGGGACUUUACCCUA